rnacentral:lncRNA from 1 species
GGUAAAUUAAAAAAUCAAACGCAACCGUGCGAAGGUUUAUAUUCUUAAUCUUAUCCAACAUUUGGUUAUUAUUGCUUGUUUAAAUACUUAGCAGAAUGAACCAGUUUUUACGGCGAGUAGUGAUAUUCUUAUGCUGGAUUUUUAUUCUAUUUGACAUCGCUAGUGGUCUGACGUGCGGUCAAACAAAAUGUUCAGAUGGAGAACAAUGUCGCAGUUUGUAUGGAGGAACAAACAACUGUUGCUGUAAAAAUGACACCACAAGUUCCACAAGUCAUUGACAUUCCCAUUCAGGAACAUCUCCAAAUGGAAAUGGAUUUCCAUGGUGGGGAGCUGUGAUUAUAGUUGUUCUGAUAGUUUGCACAGAAUAAAGAAACGACAGCCACACAAACAACUGUAGACAUGCUUUAGUUGUGAUAAUGCACAUCCGAAUACUUGGACACUAUUCUUCAAUGUUUCAACUAACUGAAUACAAUAUUACUACAAGAAUACUUUUUACAAUGGAAUUUGGAAAAUAACACCUGAUAUAGCAGAUCUCAAAUUGUCUCUAUAUAGAAGCAGUUAUAGACUUAAAUGACAUGAAGAAGAAUUUCGGAAUUAAGAAAUAAUACAUCUCAAACAGUGGAGGCAGUAAACCGUUUUCUGAGCUUCUCGGCCUAGAGUCGCCUACCCAACUUUCAAAACCUCACACAAAAGUCUGUAAACACACACCUGAAAUAAAGAUAUUGCAACAUUAGCAUCACUGUAUGUCUAUCGUUA